CUCGAGUGGAAUAGAGGUUUUUGUACGACCGUUUCAUUAGAUUGUAUCACUGUGGUACACAUUCGGUGGAGGAACUAAACUGGUGCUCGAACAUGAACAUGCAUGAAAUAAUUGAUCUGAGGUCUGAGACUGACAGCUGUCUGUUCUGUGUAUGAAGAUAAUUUACAUAGAGAGACACUUUGCAUGAGAGUGUUUAUAGUGCUGUGAGUUUAACACUUCAUGACUGAGAGCAGAACAGAACAGAAUCUUCAUCAUCACACAAGACAAAACAACAACAAUAAACAACAUCAUCAUCCUCAUCUGGACUCUUUGUAUAUGCAUUCAAGGUUUCAGUGGGCAGGUGACUGUGACUCAGACUCCCUCGGUUGAAACAGUUCAGAUUGGUGAAUCAGUCACUAUAAACUGCAAAACAAACACACAAGUGGUAGAUGCCUGUACAGGUUCAUAUACUUGUAUGGCCUGAUAUCACCAGAAACCUGGAGAAACUCCAAAACUCCUCAUAUAUGCUGCAACACGCAGAUAUACAGGAACUCCAUCUAGAUUCAGUGGCAGCGGAUCCAGAACUGACUUCACUCUGACCAUCAGUGGAGUCCAGACUGAAGAUACAGGAGAUUAUUACUGUCAGAGUUACCACAGUGGUCCAGUGUUCAUACAGUGAUAAAGAGUCGUACAAAAACCCGUCAAUCAAAGUCACAGUGACUGCACUGAUACAGAUGAGAGAUACUGCAGCUGCUCUACAACACAAUCACACACAACACUGAUCAGAUCACAAACACACAACACAAUAUCAUUACUACUAUCAGAAAUAUUUUAGUCAGUGUUUUAAUGUUAAUCAUGUUUUAGGUGUAAUAUACGAUACCUGUUAAUCAAACUGAACAGACUGCAUUCAGUCACUUCUGCUGUCUAGACAUGAUGCUCUCCAUCUGACCCACAGAAAGAUUUACAUAUAUUUUCACCUGCACUAUACUGAUGAGUUUGUCUGUGUGCUGUUUAACUACCCUUACUAAAAAUAAGUUUAUUCAAGUGCACUAUUAGUAUACUUCUUUUAAACUAAAUAUACUUUCAGUAUACUUUUAUGUACUUCUCAGAUAUGUGCUUUAUAUACUUCUCAGAAAUAUACUUAAAAUGACAUUUAAGUAUACUUUAUUUAUACUCAGAAAAAGUAUUUGAGCUAUACUUGUGCUCUGAGAAUUCCUGUUUUCUUUGUUAUUUCACAUCUUCCGUACAGAAUUUCCAAAACACAAGUGAAGAAGAACCUGCUUCCAUGUGUAAUCACAAUCAUCAGACAUAAAACAGCAUCAAAACCCUAGAUAUGUAAAACUGUGUAACGU